rnacentral:rRNA from 1 species
UACAGAGGGGGCAAGCGUUGUUCGGAAUUACUGGGCGUAAAGGGCCCGUAGGCGGCCAACUAAGUCACACGUGAAAUCCCCAGGCUUAACCUGGGAACUGCGUGUGAUACUGGAUGGCUUGAAUUCGGGAGAGGGAUGCAGAAUUCCAGGUGUAGCGGUGAAAUGCGUAGAUAUCUGGAGGAAUACCGGUGGCGAAGGCGGCAUCCUGGACCGACAUUGACGCUGAGCGGCGAAAGCGAGGGGAGCAAACGGG